CCCACAGAAAUCAUCCAUUCCAGCCCCCCCCCAUGCUCAUAACAAUAUAUUUCCAGUGUGAACUGGCAUCCACAUAGCUUCCUGUUCAAGCAGCAAUUACUCCUCAAAGUGUUCACCAGGAUGCAUCUUUCCUCUGCUGAGUACACCUGAGAUCAGGGUUAUAUGGUAAUAUAUGUCAGAAGAUGAACUACAAAUUACCAUUCAAAAGGGUGGCUUUGCAAUAACAAAACAAUCCAGAAUCAAGGUCAGAACAACACAUCUGAUCCUCUUUACUUGUCAGACCACUGCUGCAACAGAGCCAUCCAAAAGGGCAGAUGGAGAGAGAACAGGAAGUAGAAGAAACGUCAUUAGUGAUGCAUUGCUGGGGUCAUGCUAGCAGGGUGGAAGAUGUUCAAUGAUGGAAAUACACUGUAUUUGAAACCUUUUAUAUCUGUGGCAGACUGAGACAAAUUGCUUCCCUUAAAUCUGGACUUGAAGAUCAACAUUGGUUUUGAAAAGUUCAAGAAAUGCAAUUUCACUUUAAAGUCAAUAUUAAUUUAUAAGCUGUUGUAGAAUACGGAAAUAAUCUCUUGGGAAACAUGCACAAACUUUGGCUAUUUCUUAUUAAUAGUCUGUUUUCAGCAUUGACUUAACAUCCAAAGUUACCUUUAUGGAACUUGAUUGCAAUUUAUUUUUUUAAAAACGGUAUAUACGUACUGAGAAAGCCACUCUGAAUUUGUCAUUGUAAUGCCUGUGAUCCCAUUAUUAUAAUUAUUUGAGUCAAAUGAUUAACUGACUGAACAAGUGCCAUUUCCAUUCAUAAUCUAAAAGAAUACUAGUUAUUCAUUUGCUCCACUGCUGCUUCACUCUCUUUCGUAGAUAAUAAUAUAACUACUUUCAAAUGGACUCG